UUCGCAAUGCCCGAAAGGGUGACGAAGCGACGCCGCGUGGGUGAGGAAGGCCUUCGGGUUGUAAAGCCCUGUCAGGAGUUAUGAAAUGUAAGUGCGUUAAUACCGUGCUUAUUUGACAAAGGCCCCAAAGGAAGUCACGGCUAACUCUGUGCCAGCAGCCGCGGUAAUACAGAGGUGGCAAGCGUUGUUCGGUAUUAUUGGGCGUAAAGAGCACGUAGGUGGUUUUGUAAGUCAGGUGUGAAAGCCUUCUGUUCAAAGGAAGAACGGCAUCUGAAACUGCAGAUCUUGAGUGUAGGAGGGGAGAGUGGAACUUCUGGUGGAGCGGUGAAAUGCGUAGAUAUCAGAAGGAACGUCGGCGGCGAAAGCGACUCUCUGGCCUAUUACUGACACUGAGGUGCGAAAGUUAGGGGAGCAAACGGGAUUAGAUACCCCGGUAGUCCUAACCGUAAAC
rnacentral:rRNA from 1 species